UACAGAGGUCUCAAGCGUUGUUCGGAUUCAUUGGGCGUAAAGGGUGCGUAGGCGGCACGGCAAGUCGGGAGUGAAAGGCCUGGGCUCAACCGAGGAACUGCUUUCGAGACUGCCGAGCUAGAGUGCGGAAGGGGCAACUGGAAUUCCCAGUGUAGCGGUGAAAUGCGUAGAUAUUGGGAAGAACACCCGUGGCGAAGGCGGCUCUCUGGGGCGUGACUGACGCUGAGACGCGAAAGCGUGGGGAGCAAACAGG
rnacentral:rRNA from 1 species